rnacentral:piRNA from 1 species
UGGAAUUGACAGACUCUGAUUGGACC